AGCAGCCGCGGUAAUUCCAGCUCCAAUAGCGUAUAUUAAAGUUGUUGCAGUUAAAAGCUCGUAGUUGAAUUUCGGGAUUGGCGUGUCGGUCGUGCCUUAAGGGGUAUGAACUGGCGUCGUCGAUUUCUCACCUUCUGGAGAAACACGAUGCCCUUAAUUGGGUGUCGUGCGGAACCAGGACCUUUACCUUGAAAAAUUAGAGUGUUUAAAGCAGGCAUUUUUGCUCGAAUACAUUAGCAUGGAAUAAUAAAAUAGGACGGUUGGUUCUAUUUUGUUGGUUUCUAGGAUCACCGUAAUGAUUAAUAGGGAUAGUUGGGGGCAUUAGUAUUCAAUUGUCAGAGGUGAAAUUCUUGGAUUUAUUGAAGACUAACUACUGCGAAAGCAUUUGCCAAGGAUGU
rnacentral:rRNA from 1 species